UCGGGAAUUUUGGGCAAUGGGCGAAAGCCUGACCCAGCAACGCCGCGUGAAGGAUGAAGUAUUUCGGUAUGUAAACUUCGUAAGAAUGGGAAGAAUAGAUGACGGUACCAUUUGUAAGGUCCGGCUAACUACGUGCCAGCAGCCGCGGUAAUACGUAGGGACCAAGCGUUGUUCGGAUUUACUGGGCGUAAAGGGAGCGUAGGCGGCGUGUCAAGUCAGUUGUGAAAUCUCCGAGCUUAACUCGGAACGGUCAACUGAUACUGUCAUGCUAGAGUGCAGAAGGGGCAAUCGGAAUUCUUGGUGUAGCGGUGAAAUGCGUAGAUAUCAAGAGGAACACCUGAGGUGAAGACGGGUUGCUGGGCUGACACUGACGCUGAGGCUCGAAAGCUAGGGUAGCAA
rnacentral:rRNA from 1 species